AAGAUGUGGUGAUGAAGAUGUGGUGAUGAAGAUGUAGUGAUGAAGAUGUAGUGAUGAAGAUAUGGUGAUGAAGAUGUAGUGAUGAAGAUGUGGUGAUGAAGAUGUGGUGAUGAAUGAUGAAGACGCCCCACCCUUCUUGGAGCUCUUGGUGGAGUCCAGCUGCUCCGGCUUCAGCUCCUGGUCCUCUGAGGCCUUCAGCUGCUCCUCCUGCUCCUCCGUAUCCAUGGCAACGUCCUCCUCCUCCUCACGGUCCUGGUCCUGCUGGGGGCCGGCGGGUUUCUGCUGCUCGGCG
ensembl:lncRNA